rnacentral:lncRNA from 1 species
GAUUGAAGUGAUGAUUUAUUUUACCCAAUAUUGUCUGCACUAUGGUAUGAUGAUCUAUAAUACAUGCACUACCAUCUGAUCAAUCUUUUCCUAAUUAUUUGUAAAUCCCAAACUAAAAAUGCAUACGUUGCAAUCGAUGAUGCAAAUCUACAUUUUAAACUGAUGUUUUGCUGUGAUUAACUUAAAUUUAUCACCAUCUUUCGGCUGAGAUUGCAUUUGAAGGUGUUAUUUAUUUAAAAUGCCCUAUGGUAUCUGAUGCCUUGACCUAAUUAAUGUUUUAGGCAUCUCGUUAGACGGGCAGAUAGCGAUGAAAACAGGUUUGCGACACAGUUUGCUGCUACAUUUCAAAGCUUACUGUUACUUUUAUUACUGUUCACAUUUUUUUAGUAUUUUUGUGACACACAAUUUUUUAGGGCGGUGAUGAGAAAUUAGGAAAGUCAUGCACCACUCUGAUACUCAUUGUGAUUGAUAAACUUUCUCAUUACCCAUAUUUUUGUAUCUGAGCCC